rnacentral:lncRNA from 12 species
GCAGCAGAUGCGCCGCCUUUGCACAGUGACAGUGGAGGAAGGAACCGUCCCUGCGUGACCGCGGGGCCGCCGCGUGCCUUUACUGCCGUCACACCCGCAAGCUGAUGCUCCUGGAAAGCAGAGACUUCGUCCAGGGGUGACCCCUCUCAGCUGCAGCGGCCUCGCUCCCGGGGGUGUGGAAGGGCCCAUGUAGGCCUUUCAGGCUCCCGCGUCUACAAUGACAAGCGUGUCUCGUGAUUCGGGAGACCACGUCGCGCGCCUCCUUUUGAACAGACCUUGCCCGAUGGCCCGUCCCUCUGCGGGGACCCGAUGCGCCAGGCGCUCCCUACUCCCGCGUGCUCCAGACGGGCCCGGGGCGCUCGGUGGCCUCGAGCUCCGGGGAGAGGGCCACGCCGCACACCCGCGGGAGUGGGACCGGGCAGCGCAGAGCAGGUGUGCGGCGGCAGCAAGGGGAGUGGUAGGGAACCGGGGGGUCAAGGCCCACAUACACGCGGCGCCCGCUGCUCGGCUUCAGUCCCCCGGCCAGGCGGACCCGUGGCCUUGUCCCGCGUGGCCGGAUGCCAAUCGCUGCUUCGUCGUGUCCGAUUCCUUCACCGGAGCCUGAGGACCAGCGGGAGCUUCCAGAAGCAGAGGCCCGAUUCUCCCCGGGACCCAAGGUACGUCGGGAAGGCGUUUCGUUCUGGGGGGAAGGCUGCUGGCUCCGAGGGGAGUGGGGCCUGCGGCCGCCAACAACCAUCUGAAAAGCUGGUGUGCACCUGUGAGCUGGGGCCGGUCCCCCGCCCCCGACGGCUGUGGGUGCUAGUCCAGGUGCGUGCAAACCGGGGCUGGGCUGGGGUGCUCUCUGCUUUAGCCUUCGGGGUGCCGGGCGGGCGACGGUGACACGGCCUGUGGUCUGCACGGCCGUUGGGCGAGUGGUGUUUGGAGGGCCCCGAACCCCCGCCUGGAGGACGGCUGCGGUAGGGGCUCUGCAGGUGGCCAGGCUGACGGCAAAGGGGCUAUCCGGGGCCCCCACGGGUCCUCUGCCCCCUCGUGCACGAUAUUUUCUGAUUGAAAAAAGUAUGGGGGCAGCCUGGGUGGCUCAGCGGUUCAGCGCCGCCUUCGGCCCAGGGCCUGGUCCUGGAGUCCCGGGAUCGAGUCCCGCGUCAGGCUCCCUGCAUGGAGCCUGCUUCUCCCUCUGCCUGUGUCUCUGCCCCUCUCUUUCUUUGUGGGUGUCUCUCUCAUGAAUAAAUAAAUAAAAUCUCUUUUUAUUUUUUUAAAA